rnacentral:snRNA from 1 species
GGUCGCGUGUUCGAUCCACGCUCACCGCAC